rnacentral:rRNA from 1 species
AUUGAACGCUGGCGGCAUGCUUUACACAUGCAAGUCGAACGGUAACAGGCCGCAAGGUGCUGACGAGUGGCGCACGGGUGAGUAAUGCAUCGGAACGUGCCCAGUCGUGGGGGAUAACUACUCGAAAGAGUAGCUAAUACCGCAUACGAUCUAUGGAUGAAAGCGGGGGACCGUAAGGCCUCGCGCGAUUGGAGCGGCCGAUGUCAGAUUAGGUAGUUGGUGGGGUAAAGGCUCACCAAGCCAACGAUCUGUAGCUGGUCUGAGAGGACGACCAGCCACACUGGGACUGAGACACGGCCCAGACUCCUACGGGAGGCAGCAGUGGGGAAUUUUGGACAAUGGGCGCAAGCCUGAUCCAGCAAUGCCGCGUGCAGGAAGAAGGCCUUCGGGUUGUAAACUGCUUUUGCACGGAACGAAACGGCUCUGGUUAAUACCCGGGGCUAAUGACGGUACCGUAAGAAUAAGCACCGGCUAACUACGUG